GGGUUGUGAGGUUAAGCGACUAAGCGUACACGGUGGAUGCCCUGGCAGUCAGAGGCGAUGAAGGGCGUGCUAAUCUGCGAUAAGCGCCGGUAAGGUGAUAUGAACCGUUAUAACCGGCGAUACCCGAAUGGGGAAACCCAGUGUGACUCGUCACACUAUCAUUAACUGAAUCCAUAGGUUAAUGAGGCGAACCGGGGGAACUGAAACAUCUAAGUACCCCGAGGAAAAGAAAUCAACCGAGAUUCCCCCAGUAGCGGCGAGCGAACGGGGAGGAGCCCAGAGCCUGAAUCAGCAUGUGUGUUAGUGGAAGCGUCUGGAAAGGCGCGCGAUACAGGGUGACAGCCCCGUACACAAAAGCGCAUGUGCUGUGAGCUCGAUGAGUAGGGCGGGACACGUGGUAUCCUGUCUGAAUAUGGGGGGACCAUCCUCCAAGGCUAAAUACUCCUGACUGACCGAUAGUGAACCAGUACCGUGAGGGAAAGGCGAAAAGAACCCCGGCGAGGGGAGUGAAAAAGAACCUGAAACCGUGUACGUACAAGCAGUGGGAGCACCCUUUGGGGUGUGACUGCGUACCUUUUGUAUAAUGGGUCAGCGACUUAUAUUCUGUAGCAAGGUUAACCGAAUAGGGGAGCCGGAGGGAAACCGAGUCUUAAUUGGGCGUUAAGUUGCAGGGUAUAGACCCGAAACCCGGUGAUCUAGCCAUGGGCAGGUUGAAGGUUGGGUAACACUAACUGGAGGACCGAACCGACUAAUGUUGAAAAAUUAGCGGAUGACCUGUGGCUGGGGGUGAAAGGCCAAUCAAACCGGGAGAUAGCUGGUUCUCCCCGAAAGCUAUUUAGGUAGCGCCUCGUGAAUUCAUCUCCGGGGGUAGAGCACUGUUUCGGCUAGGGGGCCAUCCCGGCUUACCAACCCGAUGCAAACUGCGAAUACCGGAGAAUGUUAUCACGGGAGACACACGGCGGGUGCUAACGUCCGUCGUGAAGAGGGAAACAACCCAGACCGCCAGCUAAGGUCCCAAAGUCAUGGUUAAGUGGGAAACGAUGUGGGAAGGCCCAGACAGCCAGGAUGUUGGCUUAGAAGCAGCCAUCAUUUAAAGAAAGCGUAAUAGCUCACUGGUCGAGUCGGCCUGCGCGGAAGAUGUAACGGGGCUAAACCAUGCACCGAAGCUGCGGCAGCGACACUCAGGUGUUGUUGGGUAGGGGAGCGUUCUGUAAGCCUGCGAAGGUGGCCUGUGAGGGUUGCUGGAGGUAUCAGAAGUGCGAAUGCUGACAUAAGUAACGAUAAAGCGGGUGAAAAGCCCGCUCGCCGGAAGACCAAGGGUUCCUGUCCAACGUUAAUCGGGGCAGGGUGAGUCGACCCCUAAGGCGAGGCCGAAAGGCGUAGUCGAUGGGAAACGGGUUAAUAUUCCCGUACUUGGUGUUACUGCGAAGGGGGGACGGAGAAGGCUAUGUUGGCCGGGCGACGGUU
rnacentral:rRNA from 2 species